rnacentral:rRNA from 1 species
AUUGAACGCUGGCGGCAUGCUUUACACAUGCAAGUCGAACGGCAGCACGGGGGCAACCCUGGUGGCGAGUGGCGAACGGGUGAGUAAUAUAUCGGAACGUACCCGGAAAUGGGGGAUAACGUAGCGAAAGUUACGCUAAUACCGCAUAUGCCCUAAGGGGGAAAGCGGGGGAUUCGCAAGAACCUCGCGUUUUCGGAGCGGCCGAUAUCGGAUUAGCUAGUAGGUGAGGUAAAGGCUCACCUAGGCGACGAUCCGUAGCUGGUCUGAGAGGACGACCAGCCACACUGGAACUGAGACACGGUCCAGACUCCUACGGGAGGCAGCAGUGGGGAAUUUUGGACAAUGGGCGCAAGCCUGAUCCAGCCAUGCCGCGUGAGUGAAGAAGGCCUCGGUUGUAAGCUCUUCUAGCCGGAAAGGAAAAACGACACGGGUUAAUAACCUAGUGUGGAUGACGGUACCGGAAGAAGAAG